AGCGUUGUGUGACUAACUCACCCCUUGUGGACGUAUGUUGUAGCGUUGUCCGACUAACUCACCCCUUGUGGACGUAUGUUGUAGCGUUGUCCGACUAACUCACCCCUUGUGGACGUGCGUUGUCCGACUAACUCACCCCUUGUGGACGUAUGUUGUAGCGUUGUCAGACUAACUCACCCCUUGUGGACGUGCGUUGUCCGACUAACUCACCCCUUGUGGACGUGCGUUGUCCGACUAACUCACCCCUUGUGGACGUGCGUUGUCCGACUAACUCACCCCUUGUGGACGUAUGUUGUAGCGUUGUCCGACUAACUCACCCCUUGUAGACGUAUGUUGUAGCGUUGUCCGACUAAGUCACCCCUUGUGGACGUAUGUUGUCCGACUAACUCACCCCUUGUGGACGUAUGUUGUAGCGUUGUCCGACUAACUCACCCCUUGUGGACGUGCGUUGUCCGACUAACUCACCCCUUCUGGACGUAUAUUGUAGCGUUGUCCGACUAACUCACCCCUUGUGGACGUAUGUUGUAGCGUUGUCCGACUAACUCACCCCUUGUGGAGGUGUGUUGUCCGACUAACUCACCCCUUGUGGGCGUAUGUUGUAGCGUUGUCCGACUAACUCACCCCUUGUGGACGUAUGUUGUAGCAUUGUCCGACUAACUCACCCCUUGUGGACGUAUGUUGUAGCGUUGUCCGACUAACUCACCCCUUGUGGACGUGCGUUGUCCGACUAACUCACCCCUUGUGGACGUAUGUUGUAGCGUUGUCUGACUAACUCACCCCUUGUGGACGUAUGUUGUAGCGUUGUGUGACUAACUCACCCCUUGUGGACGUAUGUUGUAGCGUUGUCCGACUAACUCACACCUUGUGGACGUAUGUUGUAGCAUUGUCCGACUAACUCACCCCUUGUGGACGUGCGUUGUCCGACUAACUCACCCCUUGUGGACGUGCGUUGUCCGACUAACUCACCCCUUGUGCACGUAUGUUGUAGCGUUGUCCGACUAACUCACCCCUUGUGGACGUGCGUUGUCCGACUAACUCACCCCUUGUGGACGUAUAUUGUAGCGCUGUCCGACUAACUCACCCCUUGUGGACGUAUGUUGUAGCGUUGUCCGACUAACUCACCCCUUGUGGACGUAUGUUGUAGCGUUGUCUGACUAACUCACCCCUUGUGGACGUGUGUUGUCCGACUAACUCACCUCUUGUGGACGUAUGUUGUAGCGUUGUCCGACUAACUCACCCCUUGUGGACGUGCGUUGUCCGACUAACUCACCCCUUGUGGACGUGUGUUGUAGCGUUGUCCGACUAACUCACCCCUUGUGGACGUAUGUUGUAGCGUUGUCAGACUAACUCACCCCUUGUGGACGUAUGUUGUAGCGUUGUCCGACUAACUGGCCCCUUGUGGACGUGCGUUGUAGCGUUGUCCGAAUAACUCGUCCCUUGUGGACGUGCGUUGUCCGACGAACUCGCCCCUUGUGGACGUGCGUUGUCCGACUAACUCACCCCUUGUGGAUAUAUGUUGUAGCGUUGUCAGACUAACUCACCCCUUGUGGACGUAUGUUGUAGCGUUGUCUGACUAACUCACCCCUUGUGGACGUGUGCUGUCCGACUAACUCACCCCUUGUGGACGUAUGUUGUAGCGUUGUCCGACUAACUCACCCCUUGUGGACGUUCGUUGUCUGACUAACUCACCCCUUGUGGACGUAUGUUGUAGCGUUGUCCGACUAACUCACCCCUUGU
rnacentral:lncRNA from 1 species